rnacentral:rRNA from 1 species
UACGUAGGCAGCAAGCGUUGUUCGGAGUUACUGGGCGUAAAGGGUGUGUAGGCGGUUGGAUAAGUGUGGUGUGUAAUCUCCCGGCUUAACUGGGAGGGUGCGCUACAAACUGUCUGACUAGAGUGUGGGAUGGGUAAGUGGAAUUCCUGGUGUAGCGGUGAAAUGCGUAGAUAUCAGGAGGAACACCGGUGGCGAAGGCGGGUCUCUGGGCCGUUACUGACGCUGAGGAGCGAAAGCGUGGGGAGCGGACAGG